rnacentral:rRNA from 1 species
CCUACGGGAGGCAGCAGUGAGGAAUAUUGGUCAAUGGUCGGGAGACUGAACCAGCCAAGCCGCGUGAGGGAUGAAGGUACAGAGUAUCGUAAACCUCUUUUGUCAGGGAACAAAGGCGGGGACGUGUCCCCGGCUGAGUGUACCUGAAGAAAAAGCAUCGGCUAACUCCGUGCCAGCAGCCGCGGUAAUACGGAGGAUGUGAGCGUUAUCCGGAUUUAUUGGGUUUAAAGGGUGCGCAUGGGGUCUGUUAAGUCAGCGGUCAAAGCCCGGGGCUCAACCCCGGCCCGCCGUUGAAACUGGCAGUCUCGAGUUGGAGAGAGGUAUGCGGAAGGCGCGGUGUAGCGGUGAAAUGCAUAGAUAUCGCGCAGAACUCCGAUUGCGAAGGCAGCAUGCCGGCUCCACACUGACGCUGAGGCACGAAAGCGUGGGUAUCGAACAGGAUUAGAUACCCGAGUAGUC